AUUGAACGCUGGCGGCAGGCCUAACACAUGCAAGUCGAGCGGAGCGGCGGACGGGUGAGUAAUGCCUAGGAAUCUGCCUGGUAGUGGGGGUUAACGUCCGGAAACGGGCGCUAAUACCGCAUACUAUCAGAUGAGCCUAGGUCGGAUUCGCUAGUUGGUGGGGUAAAGGCCUAGCAAGGCGACGAUCCGUAACUGGUCUGAGAGGAUGAUCAGUCACUCUAGAACUUAGUCACGGGCCAGGCUCCUACGGGUGUCGGAAUGGGGGUAUAUUGGACAAUGAUCGAAGGCCUAAUCCAGCCAUGCCGCGUGUGUGUAAUGGGUCUUCGGAUUGUAAAGCAGUUUAAGUUGGGAGGCGUUGCCAACAGAGUCAGCACCGGCUAGCUUCGUGCCAGCAGCCGCGGUAAUUC
rnacentral:rRNA from 1 species